CAGCACCUCUACAGCACUUCCUGGCACUGACUUUGCUGGUAAUAUUUGUGGCAGAUCCUGGAUAUCUAACUAACAGAUUACGGAUUCAAAUGUAGCAGGUCGUGCUGUUCCCAUUUUUAAAACUCAACAUGAGUAACCUCGAUGGCGAGCUCACUCAGAGGGAGCAGCAGUUACUGAAAAUCCGGCGCGACAGCGACACCAAGGCAGCCGAGCUUGUCAAGAUGGAGAAGAUGCUGCAGCAGACCAAGAACCUUUUGGACAAGAAGACGGAGAGCGGUUCAGAGAGCCAGGACUUCCAGGAGAACAUGGAAGACCUGGAGGAAAGAGUAAGAUCCAGCAGACGGCAAAGGAGGAACUCCCUCCAUCACACACAGAUGCUGGAGAGCCAGAUGAAGACUGUGAAGGGCGAGUUGGUGGGCACGCUGGACCACCUCCAGGAGCUGAGGAACGUCUUGCGCCGCUCGCAGCAGAAAGCGGAAGAGCGCAAAGCCACCAUGGAGAAGCUGGCGGCGGGGCUCAGGUGAAGCGCGGCGAGACGAGGCUUUGGCCUUUUUGCACGCUGACGCCGGGCAGAGAUGACAUCAAACACCCGUAGGCCACUGAACGCGAGGGAAGAGACGUGAGCUGCUGCGGUGAGGCCAUUGUUUGGCAUCCAACGUUCAGACUUUGGUCGUGCUCUCUCACAAACGUCUGAGGUGGCUUCUUCAUCCUUUUAUCCUCCCUUUAUUGUCCUGUUAUUAUUAAUACAAUAUUUUGAAGGCUAAAUGUCGAAACGCUUUUGAUGUCCUCAGUUUUAAAAUACAAUCAAAUACACAUCAUUUUUUUCUUCUUCAAGUCUGAAAUAUGCAGCUUUAGAAGCAACAUAUACUCUGAGCAGCUGUCAUGAUCAUUUGUGUUUUUCUGGCUUAGCAUGUCCAUUCGUUUAUGACAGGAAAGAGAUAACAUAGAUCCCCUCCACGUUAUUGACGCACUUUUAAUGAAUUCCUCCCUGCCAAUAAUAACAUGUGUGUUGUUUUUUGUAAUCUAAAUCUGUAACCAUUUUAGAACAAAAAAAAAGUGGAUUUAGUCUCCUGGCCCAUGCAUGCACAUGUUAAAAAUAGCAACAUAAAUGCCCAUUUGUGUGGGCGUAAGUGGGGAGUAAAAUGUGUCUUUUAAAUGAACUCUUUUACAAUGUAUCGUCGGGAGUGCACAAAUAAACAAUCCUGACCAUUAAAUGGUGGAGGAAAACACUCAGUGUUUCGACUCGCUCCGGGGUCAUUGGCUUUUGUCUGUUUCCUGCGGUGAGUCAGCUGAAAAGUGUGUUUGUUCCUUCCCUGUGGCUGAGCUGUGAUCACAUACAUCUUGUUAAGCACCGCUUGAUUCACACAGCCUGACAUCAUGUGAGACUUUUCUUCACAGACCCUGACCCGUAGCUGUAAUUAUAACACCAUGUCAAGGGGAAGACUGCUCAUUACCCACAGCCGAGGGCGUAAAAAUAGACACCCUCACUUUCAAGUCUCUCACAAGGGACUCAUUCUGCCAACUCCUAAGGACACUGGGGGGUUUACAGGGGUUUUGGUGUAUGAGACGCAUCUCUGUCAGGUUUCCUUUGUGUGCUUAUUCUUCAUUGACCAACAAUAAACAAAAGAUGCAAUUAAAGGAGUGAUAUACAACCAUGCAAUGACUAUUUCUGGGUACAUGCUGAUUUUAUAUCAAUGUCAAAACCCAUUUUAUUAUGAGACAAUGUGAUGGUGUGUGUGCUUCAACAUAGAAGUUCACUAGCGAGCGACCUGUCCACCUCUGACUGUCAGAGCCUAUUAAAAGGAAAUGAUGACAAUGACAAAACCCACAAAGAAAUUAAUUGUGGGUUUUGUUGUGCACAAUGAAGGUCUAUUUACUGUGCCUAUUGUUGUUGUUUGAAGAUGUAUACAAGCCACUGUGCCUUCGAUUCAUGUGACUUCUUGUGUGGUGCCAGUCACGUGCACAGAUAGACCCCUAAUGGUGCUCAAGCACCUUCCUUUUUCCCCUGGCUGAGAAAAGUGCCCCUUCUGCUGCAGCCCAAUCUUUUCUUCAUUUGUCAAUGUUUAAGAAUAAAAAUUACUCUAGGAUCUCCUUGACAACGGAAAAGAUAAGCCUACUACAGGACCAGAUGAGAAGGAUGGACGACUAAAGAGCAGCGGUCGCCUUUCUUUCAUUGUGUUAAGUAAGUAUUCCCUCACUAAGACUGCUGAAAUAUCAGUAAUACAGUUCCAUCAUUGGAGGCCAGAUUUGAAGCAACAAUGUAAAAGUUGAGCUUGAAGGUUUUCAUCACUUGUGUUUGUGUUUCACAGUGAGUCCCAGACCCAGAGAGCAGGGUUACGUGCUCCCUGCCCCGCCACCCCGUCACCACUCGCCCCGCGCGUCCGAGGAGAGGACAGGGGACGUCCCGUCCUCACUUGCACAGGGGGCGUUGUUUGUCUCCAUCGGCAUCUUCUGUGAUCGUGGGUUUAGGAAGCUCCUCACACACAAUGUUUAAAUCCAUUUUCUUAAUUAUUUGAAAUGGGCUAUACAAAAUAACUUGCCUUGCCUCGACUUUCUUUAUCUGACUUGCUCCUUAUGGAAAUGUGUGUAAUCCCGGGUCGGCACCAAUGGGAUUUCCGUGAAAAUGAAAAGUGUAUUUGCACUGAUUUGGUUAAAAGAACGUAACCAUGACAUCCUGCCUGUGCAGUGUCCCUCGCCUUUCAGGUUCAGCGCCGGUGUUUAUGGGGUUAAUGUGUAGACGAGUCUGCAACAGCUUAAUUGAAGCCUGCCAGCAAACGUAUUGUGGUGCAUUUUCUAAAGAACAUUGGAGUGAAAACCUGUUCAUCCGCCUUAUUGUGGCAACAGCCUCCUCAAAACAAUUUUCACCUGCCAUGUUACUCUAUUAUGUGUUUGCAUGUGCACAAUGAACUGUAAUAAAAUGCAAAAUUUGGCC
ensembl:lncRNA